rnacentral:rRNA from 1 species
AGAGUUUGAUCCUGGCUCAGAUUGAACGCUGGCGGCAUGCCUUACACAUGCAAGUCGAACGGCAGCGGACCUUCGGGUGCCGGCGAGUGGCGAACGGGUGAGUAAUAUAUCGGAACGUACCUUUCAGUGGGGGAUAACGUAGCGAAAGUUACGCUAAUACCGCAUAUUCUGUGAGCAGGAAAGCAGGGGAUCGCAAGACCUUGCGCUGAUUGAGCGGCCGAUAUCAGAUUAGCUAGUUGGUGAGGUAAAGGCUCACCAAGGCGACGAUCUGUAGCGGGUCUGAGAGGAUGAUCCGCCACACUGGAACUGAGACACGGUCCAGACUCCUACGGGAGGCAGCAGUGGGGAAUUUUGGACAAUGGGGGCAACCCUGAUCCAGCCAUGCCGCGUGAGUGAAGAAGGCCUUCGGGUUGUAAAGCUCUUUCGGUCGGGAAGAAAUCGCAUGGGUUAAUACCCUGUGCGGAUGACGGUACCGGCAUAAGAAGCACCGGCUAACUACGUGCCAGCAGCCGCGGUAAUACGUAGGGUGCGAGCGUUAAUCGGAAUUACUGGGCGUAAAGCGUGCGCAGGCGGUUUUGUAAGACAGGCGUGAAAUCCCCGGGCUCAACCUGGGAACUGCGUUUGUGACUGCAAGGCUAGAGUACGGCAGAGGGGGGUGGAAUUCCACGUGUAGCGGUGAAAUGCGUAGAGAUGUGGAGGAACACCAAUGGCGAAGGCAGCCCCCUGGGUCGAUACUGACGCUCAUGCACGAAAGCGUGGGUAGCAAACAGGAUUAGAUACCCUGGUAGUCCACGCCCUAAACGAUGUCAACUAGGUGUUGGGUGGGUAAAACCAUUUAGUACCGGAGCUAACGCGUGAAGUUGACCGCCUGGGGAGUACGGCCGCAAGGUUAAAACUCAAAUGAAUUGACGG